GAUGAACGCUGGCGGCGUGCCUAAUACAUGCAAGUCGAGCGAACAGAUGAGGAGCUUGCUCCUCUGACGUUAGCGGCGGACGGGUGAGUAACACGUGGAUAACCUACCUAUAAGACUGGGAUAACUUCGGGAAACCGGAGCUAAUACCGGAUAAUAUAUUGAACCGCAUGGUUCAAUAGUGAAAGACGGUUUUGCUGUCACUUAUAGAUGGAUCCGCGCCGCAUUAGCUAGUUGGUAAGGUAACGGCUUACCAAGGCAACGAUGCGUAGCCGACCUGAGAGGGUGAUCGGCCACACUGGAACUGGGACACGGUCCAGACUCCUACGGGAGGCAGCAGUAGGGAAUCUUCCGCAAUGGGCGAAAGCCUGACGGAGCAACGCCGCGUGAGUGAUGAAGGUCUUCGGAUCGUAAAACUCUGUUAUUAGGGAAGAACAAAUGUGUAAGUAACUUUGCACGUCUUGACGGUACCUAAUCAGAAAGCCACGGCUAACUACGUG
rnacentral:rRNA from 1 species